rfam:Gossypium raimondii chromosome 6, whole genome shotgun sequence.
AGGUGCGAUCAUACCAGCACUAAUGCACCGGAUCCGAUCAGAACUCUUCAGUUAAGCAUGCUUGGGCGAGAAUAGUACUAGGAUGGGUGACCUCUUAGGAAGUCCUCGUGUUGCACCCC